UACGGAGGGUGCAAACGUUGCUCGGAAUUAUUGGGCGUAAAGAGCUCGUAGGCGGCUGGUUGCGUCUGCUGUGAAAUCCCGGGGCUUAACCCCGGGCGUGCAGUGGAUACGGGCCGGCUGGAGGCAGGCAGGGGAGAAUGGAAUUCCCGGUGUAGCGGUGAAAUGCGCAGAUAUCGGGAGGAACACCGGUGGCGAAGGCGGUUCUCUGGGCCUGUACUGACGCUGAGGAGCGAAAGCGUGGGGAGCGAACAGG
rnacentral:rRNA from 1 species